rnacentral:rRNA from 1 species
UACGUAGGUGGCAAGCGUUAUCCGGAAUUAUUGGGCGUAAAGCGCUUGCAGGCGGUUUCUUAAGUCUGAUGUGAAAGCCCACGGCUCAACCGUGGAGGGUCAUUGGAAACUGGGAGACUUGAGUGCAGAAGAGGAGAGUGGAAUUCCACGUGUAGCGGUGAAAUGCGUAGAGAUGUGGAGGAACACCAGUGGCGAAGGCGACUCUCUGGUCUGUAACUGACGCUGAGGAGCGAAAGCGUGGGGAGCAAACAGGG